UACGGGGGGGGGCAAGCGUUUGUUCGGAAUUACUGGGCGUAAAGGGCUCGUAGGCGGCCAACUAAGUCCGACGUGAAAUCCCCAGGCUUAACCUGGGAACUGCGUCGGAUACUGGAUGGCUUGAAUCCGGGAGAGGGAUGCGGAAUUCCAGGUGUAGCGGUGAAAUGCGUAGAUAUCGUAAGGAAGACCAGUGGCGAAGGCGGGGUCUCUGGACAGUUCCUGACGCUGAGGCACGAAGGCCAGGGGGAGCAAACGGG
rnacentral:rRNA from 1 species